rnacentral:rRNA from 1 species
UACGUAGGGUGCAAGCGUUGUCCGGAAUUAUUGGGCGUAAAGAGCUCGUAGGCGGUCUGUCGCGUCUGCCGUGAAAACCCGAGGCUUAACCUCGGGCUGGCGGUGGAUACGGGCAGACUAGAGGUAGGUAGGGGAGAAUGGAAUUCCCGGUGUAGCGGUGAAAUGCGCAGAUAUCGGGAGGAACACCGGUGGCGAAGGCGGUUCUCUGGGCCUUACCUGACGCUGAGGAGCGAAAGCGUGGGGAGCGAACAGG